GGAAGUGACACCACUCUAUUGGAUACUCUUGUUGUUUAUCUCUGGACUGACUUCAGUGUUGUUUAUCUCUGGACUGACUUCAGGUCAGUCUCCAGCCUCUCUGAUUGUCAGACCCAACAGAUCUCAGUUCUUUGAAUAUAAAUCUGUCUCUCUGAGCUGUGAGGUUCAGGGUGGUUCUACUGGAUGGAGAGUGGUGAGGAACCCAACAAGUGGAAACCUUACAAGAUGUGGUGAUGGAUGGGGGAGGUUUGAUGGAACCAACUGCAUCAUCUCCUCAACCAAAUCAGUAGACAGUGGAGAGUACUGGUGUCAGUAUGAGUCUGGAGAACACAGUAAUACUGUCAAGAUCAUAGUAACGGGUAUGGUACUGAUCACCAUUUACUAACAUCACAGUGCAUGUUAUGUGAAUAAUCACCAUAUACUAACAUCACAGUACAUGUUGUGUUGAUAAUCACCAUCUACUAUCACAGGCGAUGGAAUAUUACUAUAUGUACUAUUUACUAACAUUGCAGUUCAAAUUAACCUAUUAAUUUAAUUUAUUAGCCAGCCA
ensembl:lncRNA